rnacentral:rRNA from 1 species
GUCCACGCCGUAAACGAUGUCUACUAGCCGUUGGGAGACUUGAUUUCUUAGUGGCGCAGCUAACGCAAUAAGUAGACCGCCUGGGGAGUACGGCCGCAAGGUUGAAACUCAAAGGAAUUGACGGGAGCCCGCACAAGCAGUGGAGUAUGUGGUUUAAUUCGACGCAACGCGAAAAACCUUACCAAGGAUUGACAUCCCGAGAAGUCGGCGUAAUGGCUGACGUGCCUCUUCGGAGGAAUUCGGUGACAGGUGGUGCAUGGUUGUCGU